UGCCAAUCAAACUGCUACAAGACAACACCCUGAUCUGGCAUGGACAUCGCGGGUCCAAGCCUGUAGCCCCAAAUCGGAUAAUCUCUGCAGCUGAUAACAAGCAAAAGAGAAGCCAGGCAACAGCCAUAUUAAAGAAGAAAACAAUCAACUCUGAGCAGGAAGAAAUGUAAUGAAUUGAGUGCUGUCAGAGAUGUCUUCUGUUUGAACAAUCUGCGAUGGGCUGAAUGGCAGGGACUCCCUCAUCCAGUGCAGACACAGCCCAGGCAGACAGAAGGAAACGGAGCAUUAAUCCAACUGCAGUCACCCCAAAGUACAGGCCAUUUGGAUCCAGAAGAGAAACUGGUUCCUUCUACAAGCUCUCCCGUUCUCCCUGGGGCCCUUCACAGCCUCCUUGUCUACGUUGUGGCUGUGCUUUCCCUGAUCCAACUUAGAAAUAAUGUUUCAUUCAAGAUAAGGCUCGUGGCUUAGGAGAUUGUGACCUGGCUUGCAUCAUUCUAAGACUUCUAUCGUCUGUUUUCAAAACCCAAGGAGGACCUCCUUUUCUGUGUGAUAGUUCCUCAUGCUUUGCCAGCCACUGGGUCUUUAAGGAAGCUUGCCAAGAGUUCCCGGCUGGGAAGGACAGUUCGAGUUCAUCAUAGACAAUGAGCUGGCACCACAGUUUAAGUGACUCACCAACCUGGUUGCCCACUUCAAAAUGUCAAGAACCACACUAUCUAAUUGAAAGAACUGUGUUUUAGCAAAGUGUAAUUGGAUCGCCUGGCAAGAUCAUCUCAAACUAUGUCUCUGACCUUGCCUUUCAGUGGCUAUUUUGAGCACAAGAGGAGAAAGGAAAUGAUUCCUGAAUUAUAUCUUGUUUUUAAAAAUUAAGAUUAAUUAAUACUUGGUUUUAUGUUCAUUCCAUUGUAGGAACUUAGUGAUUAUUACAAAACAGUCAAAAUAGGUCAUAGCAAAAUGAACGUUUAAGAUUAGGUUAAAACAUUCCUCUGAAAUUUUAGUAUUCACUUUUGAAGUGUCAAUUACUAUAUUUCUGUAAUUUCUCAUUUUUUUCUUGGCUUAGAGUCAAGAUGAAAAAUGAUAUUUGAAUCAAAGACAUUGUUUUGUUAUAUAGCCACUCCUUUCUAAAAUGCAAAUCCACCCUCCCCUCACCAAUGCUUUAUUCUUUGUGCGCGCACACACACACACACACACACACACACACACACACACACACAGACAUACACAGAACCAGCACCCAAAUGGUAGAGGAGGUCCUUCCAAGACUUCUAGGACCUGGAUCAUGUAAGCAGUAGAUGAGAAAAUGAAGUAAGAGAUAUAGAGUAAUAACAAUAAAAGUCAAUGAUUUCAUUUUACAAAAAAGUCAUUGUGUAGUACUCAGAUAUUUUUAAGAGCAAGUAUUAUUAUGACUAAAGUAUAUUAUACUUCUAAAUUAUUAUGAUUCUCAUCUAAUUUCAAGCCACACAUAGGCGCCAUUUGAAAGCAUUUUGUGUUACAACCUAUCAACAAAAAUCAACUAAUAGUUUUAUAACGUGCAUAGGUUUACCCCAUGGGGAAUUAAAAUUUUUAUCUGCAAGUAUUUCUGUUGUUGUGAGACUUUAGGACAAGACAACAUUUGGUGUUAACAUAGAAGAAUAUUCUAUGGCUUUUUUAGCUUUAAAGUUCAUUACUCUAAAAUAAA
ensembl:lncRNA SOX2-OT SOX2 overlapping transcript